AAUAAGUGCAGCCAUGAGUUUCCGCGUCCAACUUUGAUCGUCCGUCUUAUUUAAAAUUUUUUUAUAAUUAGCAAUUUUGUUGUUAUAAGAUGAUAAAACAUAAAUAAUACUUUACUCGUGACUUAUGUUUUUAAUUUUUUUAAAAUUUUUUUUAAAUAAGACAAAUGAUCAAAGUUAGGCACUGAAAACCAUGGCUGCACUUAUU
rfam:Oryza glumipatula chromosome 3, whole genome shotgun sequence.